CUACCCGGGUUUCUAAUCCUGUUUGCUCCCCACGCUUUCGCACCUGAGCGUCAGUCUUUGUCCAGGGGGCCGCCUUCGCCACCGGUAUUCCUCCACAUCUCUACGCAUUUCACCGCUACACAUGGAAUUCUACCCCCCUCUACAAGACUCUAGCUGACCAGUAUCAGAUGCAAUUCCCGGGUUAAGCCCGGGGAUUUCACAUCUGACUCAAUCAACCGCCUGCGUGCGCUUUACGCCCAGUAAUUCCGAUUAACGCUUGCACCCUCCGUAUUACCGCGGCGGCUGGCAC
rnacentral:rRNA from 1 species